rnacentral:rRNA from 1 species
GAAACCUGGUUGAUCCUGCCAGUAGUCAUAUGCUUGUCUCAAAGAUUAAGCCAUGCAUGUCCAAGUAUAAACCAUUUAUACGGUGAAACUGCGAAUGGCUCAUUAAAUCAGUUAUAAUUUAUUUGAUCGUACCUUACUACUUGGAUAACCGUGGUAAUUCUAUGGCUAAUACAUGCACAAAGGCCCGCAAGGGU